rnacentral:ncRNA from 1 species
GCAACCUGAAGCUGGCGCACCAGAACCGCACCGUCUUCCUCAGCCUGCUGGGCAUUUCCUGGCUGUGGUUCCUCGGUGCCACCAUGCUGACUUCCUUCUUCGGCUUCGCCAAGGAGGUGCUC